rnacentral:rRNA from 1 species
UCUGGCGGCGAGUGGCGAACGGGUGAGUAAAGUAUCGGAACGUGCCCAGUAGCGGGGGAUAACUACUCGAAAGAGUAGCUAAUACCGCAUACGCCCUACGGGGGAAAGGGGGGGAUCGCAAGACCUCUCACUAUUGGAGCGGCCGAUAUCGGAUUAGCUAGUUGGUGAGGUAAAGGCUCACCAAGGCGACGAUCCGUAGCUGGUUUGAGAGGACGACCAGCCACACUGGGACUGAGACACGGCCCAGACUCCUACGGGAGGCAGCAGUGGGGAAUUUUGGACAAUGGGGGCAACCCUGAUCCAGCCAUCCCGCGUGUGCGAUGAAGGCCUUCGGGUUGUAAAGCACUUUUGGCAGGAAAGAAAUCGCAUGGAUUAAUACUCUGUGUGGAUGACGGUACCUGCAGAAUAAGCACCGGCUAACUACGUGCCAGCAGCCGCGGUAAUACGUAGGGUGCAAGCGUUAAUCGGAAUUACUGGGCGUAAAGCGUGCGCAGGCGGUUCGGAAAGAAAGAUGUGAAAUCCCAGGGCUUAACCUUGGAACUGCAUUUUUAACUCCCGGGCUAGAGUGCGUCAGAGGGGGGUGGAAUUCCGCGUGUAGCAGUGAAAUGCGUAGAUAUGCGGAGGAACACCGAUGGCGAAGGCAGCCCCCUGGGAUGACACUGACGCUCAUGCACGAAAGCGUGGGGAGCAAACAGGAUUA